rnacentral:rRNA from 1 species
AGUGAACGCUGGCGGUAGGCCUAACACAUGCAAGUCGAACGGCAGCACAGUAAGAGCUUGCUCUUACGGGUGGCGAGUGGCGGACGGGGGAGGAAUACAUCGGCAUCUACUUUUUCGUGGGGGAUAACGUAGGGAAACUUACGCUAAUACCGCAUACGACCUACGGGUGAAAGCAGGGGAUCUUCGGACCUUGCGCGAUUGAAUGAGCCGAUGUCGGAUUAGCUAGUUGGCGGGGUAAAGGCCCACCAAGGCGACGAUCCGUAGCUGGUCUGAGAGGAUGAUCAGCCACACUGUAACUGAGACACGGUCCAGACUCCUACGGGAGGCAGCAGUGGGGAAUAUUGGACAAUGGGCGCAAGCCUGAUCCAGCCAUACCGCGUGGGUGAAGAAGGCCUUCGGGUUGUAAAGCCCUUUUGUUGGGAAAGAAAAGCAGCAGGUUAAUACCCCGCUGUUCUGACGGUACCCAAAGAAUAAGCACCGGCUAACUUCGUG